rnacentral:rRNA from 1 species
AGAACAUUUUUCCCCCCUAGUAUAGGCGAUAGAAAAGGGCCCAAGAGCUAUAGCAACAGUACCGCAAGGGAACGCUGAAAGAGAGGUGAAACAGUACCAUAAAGUACAGAAAAGCAGAGAUUAAGCCUCGUACCUUUCGCAUCAUGAAUUAGCUAGUACUAUCAAGCAAGGAGAACCGUAGCUUGUACACCCGAAACUGAGUGAGCUACUCCAGGACAGCCUAUUUAGGGCAAACCCGUCUCUGUGGCAAAAGAGUGGGGAGAUCUUCGAGUAGAAGUGACAGACUUACCGAACUCAGCUAUAGCUGGUUGCCUGAGAAAUGGAUAUAAGUUCAGCCCCCUGACUUCUUCACUCAUACGCCCCCCGUAUGACAAAAAGAUUUAUUAGGGGAGUUAUUCAAAGGGGGUACAGCCCGUUUGAAAAAAGACUCAACUUUGUAGGGAGGAUAAGGAUACGUGAAGGACUCGUGCCCCCGUGGGCCUGAAGGCAGCCACCCCCGCAGAAAGCGUUAAAGCUCAAGCACAGCAACACCCAUAUAUUCCAACAAACCCGUCCAAAGCCCCAACACCAUAUCAGGCUGCUCUACCUAACCCGUAGAAGAAAUAAUGCUAGUAUGAGUAAUAGGAAAUCCACGAAUUUCUCCCGGCACUCGCGUAAAUCAGAACGGACAACCCACCGAGCAUUAACGGACCCAAGAGAAGAGGGUACUGAAUUGCCCACACCGGAAAAGCAUUCGACCUCAAACCGUUGACCCCACACCGGAGUGCCUAAGGGAAAGACUGAAGGAAAGAGAAGGAACUCGGCAAAAUGAAGAAGCCUCGCCUGUUUUACCAAAAACAUCGCCUUCUUGCUAACGCUUGUAGAAUAAGAGGUCAGCCUGCCCAGUGACAAUGUGUUCAACGGCCGCGGCAUUUUGACUGUGCUAAGGUAGCGCAAUCACUUGUCUUUUAAAUGGGGACCUGUAUGAAAGGUAUUACGAGGGCUUAACUGUCUCCUCUUUCUAGUCAAUGAAAUUGAUCUCUCCGUGCAGAAGCGGGGAUCUAGCCAUAAGACGAGAAGACCCUGUGGAGCUUGAGACACCAGAGCAGCCCACGUCCAAAACCCCAUCAAAGGACCGAACUGAGUGGCAUCUGCCCCAAUGUCUUCGGUUGGGGUGACCAUGGGGAAAGCAAAACCCCCACGCGGACCGGGAGCACUAGAGGAACUUUUCCCAACCAUACAACCAAACUCCUAAAAGCUAGAGCCCCAACUCUAGCUAAACGAAACAUUCGACCUAGACUGAUCCGGCAUAGCCGAUCAACGGACUAAGUUACCCCAGGGAUAACAGCGCUAU